UUUCCCAUUUCUUUCUAUUUCCAACCGAAAACUCCAUUGUUGUUAGCUAAGGAAGCUUUGGCCUUGCAUAAACUCAUGCAUGUAAGUCAAUUUCACACUUAUUUUGUAUGAAUUUUAUGUUUUUGAAAUUGUUGUAGCUUAAUUUAGCUAGUCUAGAAACUAUUUUGAAAUAUUUUCAAAGUUUUGAAAACUUUCCAUUAAUGUUCUUGAAGCUUUUUAGAUGUUAAUGCUUGAGUUUGAAGUUUGAUGAUGAAAUAGGACAAUUUUGUAAAGUGAUUUUGAAUAGGUUUUAAGUUUAGGGAUUAAAUCAAAGUAUGUUAAAUUUGUCAUGGGUUUCUUGCGAAAUUUCAAUACUUGAGGGUUGUAUAGGGAUGGAUAUGAAUUCAACAUGUUAGCCUAGGGCUUAAUUGUGAAAAAUAAGCUUGUUUUGGUUUUAGGGAUUAAAUUGAACAAAAUGCAAAAAUUUAGAAAAAUUGUGAAAAUAUUAAUAGGAAGGGAAGCCUACAAGUUUGGCACUCGAUGUCCAGGCGUGUUUUGGAGGGAUGUUAGCCUUCGGGCUAGGCACUCAAUACUCAGACGUGCUCUUGGUUGGAUUAUCUCGAUUAAGCAUUCUAGCGUGUCUUGGAUGGAUAACCGCAUAUCUGUAUCUGUUCAUAUUGGUUCAUCGGGCUGAAUAGUGAUUUUUAAUUGGUAUAAUGGCUUAUAUUGAUGUGUGGUAAUAAUGCCUUGAUGAAUGAAUUGUAAAUGUGCUCAAACUUAUCGAUAUUAUAUUGUGACUUGGUAUUGAAUGAACUUGUAUAGCUUGAAUGAUAUAUUACUUGCAUAAAAUGAACUCACCCAUUGGAAAUGGUUGUGUUGACAG
rnacentral:lncRNA from 1 species